UUAAGCGACUAAGCGUACACGGUGGAUGCCCUGGCAGUCAGAGGCGAUGAAGGACGUGCUAAUCUGCGAUAAGCGUCGGUAAGGUGAUAUGAACCGUUAUAACCGGCGAUUUCCGAAUGGGGAAACCCAGUGUGUUUCGACACACUAUCAUUAACUGAAUCCAUAGGUUAAUGAGGCGAACCGGGGGAACUGAAACAUCUAAGUACCCCGAGGAAAAGAAAUCAACCGAGAUUCCCCCAGUAGCGGCGAGCGAACGGGGAGCAGCCCAGAGCCUGAAUCAGUGUGUGUGUUAGUGGAAGCGUCUGGAAAGGCGCGCGAUACAGGGUGACAGCCCCGUACACAAAAAUGCACAUGCUGUGAGCUCGAUGAGUAGGGCGGGACACGUGGUAUCCUGUCUGAAUAUGGGGGGACCAUCCUCCAAGGCUAAAUACUCCUGACUGACCGAUAGUGAACCAGUACCGUGAGGGAAAGGCGAAAAGAACCCCGGCGAGGGGAGUGAAAAAGAACCUGAAACCGUGUACGUACAAGCAGUGGGAGCACGCUUAGGCGUGUGACUGCGUACCUUUUGUAUAAUGGGUCAGCGACUUAUAUUCUGUAGCAAGGUUAACCGAAUAGGGGAGCCGAAGGGAAACCGAGUCUUAACUGGGCGUUAAGUUGCAGGGUAUAGACCCGAAACCCGGUGAUCUAGCCAUGGGCAGGUUGAAGGUUGGGUAACACUAACUGGAGGACCGAACCGACUAAUGUUGAAAAAUUAGCGGAUGACUUGUGGCUGGGGGUGAAAGGCCAAUCAAACCGGGAGAUAGCUGGUUCUCCCCGAAAGCUAUUUAGGUAGCGCCUCGUGAAUUCAUCUCCGGGGGUAGAGCACUGUUUCGGCAAGGGGGUCAUCCCGACUUACCAACCCGAUGCAAACUGCGAAUACCGGAGAAUGUUAUCACGGGAGACACACGGCGGGUGCUAACGUCCGUCGUGAAGAGGGAAACAACCCAGACCGCCAGCUAAGGUCCCAAAGUCAUGGUUAAGUGGGAAACGAUGUGGGAAGGCCCAGACAGCCAGGAUGUUGGCUUAGAAGCAGCCAUCAUUUAAAGAAAGCGUAAUAGCUCACUGGUCGAGUCGGCCUGCGCGGAAGAUGUAACGGGGCUAAACCAUGCACCGAAGCUGCGGCAGCGACGCUUAUGCGUUGUUGGGUAGGGGAGCGUUCUGUAAGCCUGUGAAGGUGUGCUGUGAGGCAUGCUGGAGGUAUCAGAAGUGCGAAUGCUGACAUAAGUAACGAUAAAGCGGGUGAAAAGCCCGCUCGCCGGAAGACCAAGGGUUCCUGUCCAACGUUAAUCGGGGCAGGGUGAGUCGACCCCUAAGGCGAGGCCGAAAGGCGUAGUCGAUGGGAAACAGGUUAAUAUUCCUGUACUUGGUGUUACUGCGAAGGGGGGACGGAGAAGGCUAUGUUGGCCGGGCGACGGUUGUCCCGGUUUAAGCGUGUAGGCUGGUUUUCCAGGCAAAUCCGGAAAAUCAAGGCUGAGGCGUGAUGACGAGGCACUACGGUGCUGAAGCAACAAAUGCCCUGCUUCCAGGAAAAGCCUCUAAGCAUCAGGUAACAUCAAAUCGUACCCCAAACCGACACAGGUGGUCAGGUAGAGAAUACCAAGGCGCUUGAGAGAACUCGGGUGAAGGAACUAGGCAAAAUGGUGCCGUAACUUCGGGAGAAGGCACGCUGAUAUGUAGGUGAAGCGACUUGCUCGUGGAGCUGAAAUCAGUCGAAGAUACCAGCUGGCUGCAACUGUUUAUUAAAAACACAGCACUGUGCAAACACGAAAGUGGACGUAUACGGUGUGACGCCUGCCCGGUGCCGGAAGGUUAAUUGAUGGGGUCAGCGCAAGCGAAGCUCUUGAUCGAAGCCCCGGUAAACGGCGGCCGUAACUAUAACGGUCCUAAGGUAGCGAAAUUCCUUGUCGGGUAAGUUCCGACCUGCACGAAUGGCGUAAUGAUGGCCAGGCUGUCUCCACCCGAGACUCAGUGAAAUUGAACUCGCUGUGAAGAUGCAGUGUACCCGCGGCAAGACGGAAAGACCCCGUGAACCUUUACUAUAGCUUGACACUGAACAUUGAGCCUUGAUGUGUAGGAUAGGUGGGAGGCUUAGAAGUGUGGACGCCAGUCUGCAUGGAGCCGACCUUGAAAUACCACCCUUUAAUGUUUGAUGUUCUAACGUUGACCCGUAAUCCGGGUUGCGGACAGUGUCUGGUGGGUAGUUUGACUGGGGCGGUCUCCUCCUAAAGAGUAACGGAGGAGCACGAAGGUUGGCUAAUCCUGGUCGGACAUCAGGAGGUUAGUGCAAUGGCAUAAGCCAGCUUGACUGCGAGCGUGACGGCGCGAGCAGGUGCGAAAGCAGGUCAUAGUGAUCCGGUGGUUCUGAAUGGAAGGGCCAUCGCUCAACGGAUAAAAGGUACUCCGGGGAUAACAGGCUGAUACCGCCCAAGAGUUCAUAUCGACGGCGGUGUUUGGCACCUCGAUGUCGGCUCAUCACAUCCUGGGGCUGAAGUAGGUCCCAAGGGUAUGGCUGUUCGCCAUUUAAAGUGGUACGCGAGCUGGGUUUAGAACGUCGUGAGACAGUUCGGUCCCUAUCUGCCGUGGGCGCUGGAGAACUGAGGGGGGCUGCUCCUAGUACGAGAGGACCGGAGUGGACGCAUCACUGGUGUUCGGGUUGUCAUGCCAAUGGCACUGCCCGGUAGCUAAAUGCGGAAGAGAUAAGUGCUGAAAGCAUCUAAGCACGAAACUUGCCCCGAGAUGAGUUCUCCCUGACUCCUUGAGAGUCCUGAAGGAACGUUGAAGACGACGACGUUGAUAGGCCGGGUGUGUAAGCGCAGCGAUGCGUUGAGCUAACCGGUACUAAUGAACCGUGAGGCUUAACCUU
rnacentral:rRNA from 1 species